AGUCCACUUAAGCCUAGCUUAGUGUUGGGAAUCUACUGUCGCGGCAGCUACCCGGUACUUACCCUGUAGCUACCCUGUAGUUCCUCAAAGUGAGCGGCGGAGUUGUGAUACCCUCUGAGCUUAGUAGUAACAUUCUAGCUUUCGAGAAACCACAGCGCUUGCCGUAAAACACCCUUCUUCUGAAU
rnacentral:misc_RNA from 1 species